rnacentral:rRNA from 1 species
GAUGAACGCUAGCUACAGGCUUAACACAUGCAAGUCGCGGGGCAGCAUGGGGGUUGCUUGCAAUCCCCGAUGGCGACCGGCGCACGGGUGAGUAACGCGUAUCCAACCUGCCCUUCACCACGGGAUAACCCGGCGAAAGUCGGACUAAUACCGUAUGUUGUCCAUUGACGGCAUCCGAUUUGGACGAAAGGCUUGGCGGUGAGGGAUGGGGAUGCGUCCGAUUAGCCAGACGGCGGGGUAACGGCCCACCGUGGCUACGAUCGGUAGGGGUUCGGAGAGGAAGGUCCCCCACACUGGAACCGAGACACGGUCCAGACUCCUACGGGAGGCAGCAGUGAGGAAGAUUGGUCAAUGGGCGUAAGCCUGAACCAGCCAAGUAGCGUGCAGGAGGACGGCCCUAGGGGUUGUAAACUGCUUUUAUGCGGGGAUAAAGUGGCCCACGGGUGGGCUUUUGCAGGUACCGCAUGAAUAAGGACCGGCUAAUUCCGUG